rnacentral:rRNA from 1 species
GACGAACGCUGGCGGCGUGCUUAACACAUGCAAGUCGAACGGAAAGGCCCUGCUUUUGUGGGGUGCUCGAGUGGCGAACGGGUGAGUAACACGUGAGUAACCUGCCCUUGACUUUGGGAUAACUUCAGGAAACUGGGGCUAAUACCGGAUAGGAGCUCCUGCUGCAUGGUGGGGGUUGGAAAGUUUCGGCGGUUGGGGAUGGACUCGCGGCUUAUCAGCUUGUUGGUGGGGUAGUGGCUUACCAAGGCUUUGACGGGUAGCCGGCCUGAGAGGGUGACCGGCCACAUUGGGACUAAGAUACGGCCCAGGCUCCUACGGGAGGCAGCAGUGGCGCAUAUUGCACUAUGGGCGGAGGCCUGAUGAAGUCACGCCGCGUGCGGGAUGACGGCCUUCGGGUUGUAAACCGCUUUCGCCUGUGACGAAGCGUGAGUGACGGUAAUGGGUAAAGAAGCACCGGCUAACUACGUG